CAGGCUUAACACAUGCAAGUCGAGGGGCAGCAUGGUCUUAGCUUGCUAAGGCCGAUGGCGACCGGCGCACGGGUGAGUAACACGUAUCCAACCUGCCGUCUACUCUUGGACAGCCUUCUGAAAGGAAGAUUAAUACAAGAUGGCAUCAUGAGUCCGCAUGUUCACAUGAUUAAAGGUAUUCCGGUAGACGAUGGGGAUGCGUUCCAUUAGAUAGUAGGCGGGGUAACGGCCCACCUAGUCUUCGAUGGAUAGGGGUUCUGAGAGGAAGGUCCCCCACAUUGGAACUGAGACACGGUCCAAACUCCUACGGGAGGCAGCAGUGAGGAAUAUUGGUCAAUGGGCGAGAGCCUGAACCAGCCAAGUAGCGUGAAGGAUGACUGCCCUAUGGGUUGUAAACUUCUUUUAUAAAGGAAUAAAGUCGGGUAUGGAUACCCGUUUGCAUGUACUUUAUGAAUAAGGAUCGGCUAACUCCGUGCCAGCAGCCGCGGUAAUACGGAGGAUCCGAGCGUUAUCCGGAUUUAUUGGGUUUAAAGGGAGCGUAGAUGGAUGUUUAAGUCAGUUGUGAAAGUUUGCGGCUCAACCGUAAAAUUGCAGUUGAUACUGGAUAUCUUGAGUGCAGUUGAGGCAGGCGGAAUUCGUGGUGUAGCGGUGAAAUGCUUAGAUAUCACGAAGAACUCCGAUUGCGAAGGCAGCCUGCUAAGCUGCAACUGACAUUGAGGCUCGAAAGUGUGGGUAUCAAACAGGAUUAGAUACCCUGGUAGUCCACACGGUAAACGAUGAAUACUCGCUGUUUGCGAUAUACUGCAAGCGGCCAAGCGAAAGCGUUAAGUAUUCCACCUGGGGAGUACGCCGGCAACGGUGAAACUCAAAGGAAUUGACGGGGGCCCGCACAAGCGGAGGAACAUGUGGUUUAAUUCGAUGAUACGCGAGGAACCUUACCCGGGCUUAAAUUGCAGAUGAAUUACGGUGAAAGCCGUAAGCCGCAAGGCAUCUGUGAAGGUGCUGCAUGGUUGUCGUCAGCUCGUGCCGUGAGGUGUCGGCUUAAGUGCCAUAACGAGCGCAACCCUUGUUGUCAGUUACUAACAGGUUCCGCUGAGGACUCUGACAAGACUGCCAUCGUAAGAUGUGAGGAAGGCGGGGAUGACGUCAAAUCAGCACGGCCCUUACGUCCGGGGCUACACACGUGUUACAAUGGGGGGUACAGAGGGCCGCUACCACGCGAGUGGAUGCCAAUCCCCAAAACCUCUCUCAGUUCGGACUGGAGUCUGCAACCCGACUCCACGAAGCUGGAUUCGCUAGUAAUCGCGCAUCAGCCACGGCGCGGUGAAUACGUUCCCGGGCCUUGUACACACCGCCCGUCAAGCCAUGGGAGCCGGGGGUACCUGAAGUGCGUAACCGCGAGGAGCGCCCUAGGGUAAAACUGGUGACUGGGGCUAAGU
rnacentral:rRNA from 1 species